rnacentral:lncRNA from 10 species
UGGUCUCGCUCUGUUGCCCAGGCUGGAGUGCAGUGGCGCGAUCUCGGCUCACUGCAAGCUCCACCUCCUGGGUUCACGCCAUUCUCCUGCCUCAGCCUCCUGCGUAGCUGGGACUAUAGGUGCCCACCACCACGCCUGGCUAAUUUUUUUUAUACUUUUAGUAGACACGGGAUUUCACCGUGUUAGUCAGGAUGGUCUUGAUCUCCUGACCUCGUGAUCCGCGCGCCUGGGCCUCCCAAAGUGCUGGGAUUACAGGCGUGAGCCACUGUGCCCAGCCCAGCUGUGGUCUCUUCCUUACCACACAGAAGUCAACAUUCAUUUCUCAUCGCCACGCUGGACUUUUACAGUGUACCUGCUUAAUCUUGUUGGAUACUCCCAAUGACAUUGAAGGAAGAAAGGAUUGUUAUGUCUAUUAUUCAGAAUGGAAGCUGAGGCCUGAAGAUACGUAGUGACCAAAGUCACACAGUAGCAGACUCACAAUUAAGACUGAGGAUGAGCCAGGUCCAGUGACUCACGCCUGUAAUCCCAGCACUUUGAGAGCCUGAGGGGGGGGCAGAUCACCUGAGGUCAGGAGUUCGAGACCAGCCUGGCCAACAUGGCGAAACCCCGUCUCUACUAAAAUUACAAAAAAAUUAGCCCAGUGUGGUGGCGCAUGCCUGUAAUCCCAGCUAUUAGGGAGGCUGAGGCAGGAGUAUCGCUUGAACCCGGGAGGUGGAGGUUGCAGUGAGCUGAGAUGGCACCACUACACUCCAGGCUGGGUGACAGAGCAAGACUCUGAAAACAAAAACAAAAACAACUGAGGAUGACAAGCAGGUGCCCUAGAGAUUACAGGGCUUAUGGGCAGAGGGAUGGGAAAACAAGCUGCAGGAAGCCUCUCUGUGGCCAAAAUUCACUUCAGUCCAAUAAGACCAGAGUUUAUUGAAAUUUUCUAUGCACAGGGACCAGGCAAGGGGAGUAGGAGCAGCCUUCCCUUUCUACCAUCAAUCCCUAUAGUGAUUGUGACAAGACUUAGGGCUCCCAGGAGGGAAAGUAAGGAAGACUAUCCAUAAAGACACAAAGUGUAAGAUUUAUUCAAUACACUUUGAAGUGUAAUGAAUCACAAGUUAAGUCUUUUUUUUUUCUUUUUUGAGAAGGAGCCGCACUCUGUCACCCAGGCUGGAGUGCAGUGGUGCAAUCUCUGCUCACUGCAACCUCCGCCUCCUGGGUUCAAGAGAUUCUCCUGCCUCAGCCUCGUGAAUAGCUGGGAUUACAGGCGCCCCUACCACCCCCGGCUAACUUUUGUAUUUUCAGUAGAGAUGGGGUUUCACCAUGUUGGCCAGGCUGGUCUCAAAUUCCUGACCUCCGGUGAUCCGCCUGUCUCGGGCCUCCCAAAGUGCUGGGAUUACAGGAGUGAGCCACCGUGUCCGGCCAGUUCCUUUUAAAAUUUAUUUUCUCUUCUCCUUUCUUCCUGCUCCCACUUCUGAUUUAAUCUUUGAAUUUCUUUGAAUUUCUAAAGAAGAAAUUUUACCAACUUCUUCACCAGACACUCCCUUCAAGGCAAGUUCAUCUAAUUCUUGGAAAGUUAACAGAGCAAAGCAUGCCCGCUAGGGAACUUUCACCUUGGAACUUCUACCCUCUGGGGGAUUGCUUCGAACUCACACCUACCAAGAGGGAAUGUUGAAAGCGUGUCCACUUGGCCACUUUUAUAACUUACUUCUGCCCAGGAAGGCACUAAGUCAACUGCCCAGCAGUUAAGCCACCAGAGCUAACGGAGACGCCCUCCCCCUGCUUACUUCCUCCCACCACCUUAUAAAAGGCCCGCUUUCUGCUCCAAAAGGGAAGUGGCACAUUUAAGGCAGGAUGCUUCGUGCCAUUUCCACAAGCUAGCUUCAAAAUAAAUUCAUUUUUUCGUCCCAGACCUUGCUCUUUUUAACUGGACUCUGAAUGUUGUGAGCAACUAACCUGCUUUUCAGUUACAAAAUGAUGGUAGCCUCUGAAGUCAGAAAAGGCAAGGAAAUGGGUUCUCCCCUAGAGUCUCCAAAGGAACAUGACCCUGAAGAUAUUUUGAUUUUAGCCCCAUACGACCUAUUUUGAACUCCUGACCUCCAAAACUUUAAGGUAAUAAAUUUCCGUUCAUAUAGACCACCAAGUUUGUGGUAAUUGGAAACUAGCAGCCAUAGGAAACUAGUACAUAUUCUUUGGAUACAAGCAAUAGAAACAGACUCUAGCUACAUCAAGCAAAAACAAAAUUCGCUGAGAGGAUUCAGUUGUACAACCACAGGCCUUGGAAGUGAUAGGAGCCAGGGCUGCGUUGGGUAAUCUAGAUAUAAGGAAUAAGUAGGCCAGGUGUGGUGGCUCACGCCUAUAACACUUUGGGAGGCCAAGGCGGGCGGAUCACCUGAAGUCAGGAGUUCGAGAUGAGCCUGGCCAACAUGGCAAAACCCCAUCUCUACUAAAAAUAGAAAACUUAGCUGGGCAUGGUGGCGCAUGCCUGUAAUCCCAGCUACUUGGGAGGCUGAGGCAGGAGAAUUGCUUGAACCAGGACCUGGGAGGCAGAGGUUGCAGUGAGACAAGAUUGCGCCACUGCACUCCAGCCUGGGCUACAGAGCGAGACUCCGUAUCAAAAAAAAAGAAAGAAAGAAAGAAAGAAAAUUCCACACUAACAGGUGGUGUGGUGGCUCUCACCUGUAAUCCCAGCGCUUUGGGAGGCUGAGGUGGGAGAAUUGCCUGAGGCCAGGAGUUUGAGACCAGCCUGGACUUGGUCUCUACUAAUAAUAAAAUUAGCCAGGCAUGAUGGUGCACUCCAGUAGUCCCAGCUACUUGGGAGGUUGAGGUGGAAAGAUUGCUUGAGUCCAGGAAUUCAAGGCUGCAGCCAGGUAUGAUUGUGCCACUGUGGUUGAGGUGGAAGGAUUGCAUGAGCCCAGGAGUUCAAGGCUACAGCCAGGUAUGAUGGUGUCACUGCACUGCAGCCUGAGUGACAGAGCAACCUUGUCUCUGAAAAAAAAAAAAAGAAAAAAGACAAAAAUCCACACCUGACCUCACGUGACAGGUUGCAGUCAAAACACAGACAUACAACACAGUUUUUUCAGCAUCUCCAGGUAUUAUUUUGAUGAUGCUACUAUGCUGCUUACUUACCCUGAACACAUUACUUUUUCACUGUAUUAAUGGUCUUUUUUUUUAACUGAUAAAUGUGAAUAAGUGUAAGAAAAAUGAUACAGCAUAUAAAUUCAGAGUCAUGAAUGAUGGUGACGCCGAACAACCACAGAUUUUCCAGAGGGGUGUCUAAGUGACACUUUUGUUUUCCCAUGAUUCAGUAUACACAAACUUGGUUUUGUGCACAGAAUUAUUAAAAAUAUUGUAUAAAAUUACCUUCAGGUUAUGUGUAUAAGGUCUAUAUAAAACAUAAAUGAAUUUAUAUUUAGACUUGGUUCCCAUCCCCAAGAUAUCUCAUUAAGUAUAUGCAAAUAUUCCAAAAUCUGAAAAUGAUCCAAAAUCUGAAAUACUGCUGGUCCCAAGCACUUUGGAUUAGGGAUACUCAACCUGUAUCUCAUUAGUGAGUAUGGGAAGAAUGAACUGAGCACAACUCAGCUCUUCCUCCUUUUUUCUCUUUCAAAUGUGCCUGCCCUUAAGAAGCACGAUUUUUUGCCCUCUUCCUCCAUGUUCUAUUAAUACAUUUCCCACAGUCUAGCCCUCCCAGAGAGGACUAUGAUUGGUCAGGCACAGUGGCUCACGCUUGUAAUCCCAGCACUUUGGGAGACUGAGGUGGGCGGAUCAUUUGAGGUCAGGAGUUCAAGACCAGCCUAGCCAACAUGAUGAAACCCCAUCUCUACUAAAAAUACAAAAAUUAGCUGGGCGUGGUGGCGGGCACCUGUAAUCCCAGCUACUCAGUAGGCUGAGGCACGAGAAUCCCUUGAACCAAGGAGGUGGAGGUUACAAUGAGCCGAGAUUGUGCCACUUGCACUCCAGCCUGGGUGACAGAGCGAGACUCCAUCUAAAAAAAAGAAGAGGCCGGACACGGUGGCUCACACCUAUAAUCCCAGCACUUUGGGAGGCUGAGGUGGGUGGUUCACCUAAGGUCAGGAGUUUGAGACCAGCCUGGCCAAAAUGGUGAACCCCUGUCUCUACUAAAAAUACAAAAAAAUAGCUGGGCGUGGUGGCGGGCACCUGUAAUCCCAGCUGCUCGGGAGGCUGAGGCAGGAGAAUCGUUUGAACUCGGGAGGCGGAGGUUGCCGUAAACUGAGACUGUGCCAUUGCACUCCAGCCUGGGCAACAAGAGUGAAACUCUGUCUCAAAAAAAAAAAAAAAAGAAAAAAAAAGAAAGAGAAAAGAGGGCUAUGAUGAUUUUCUAGCACUGCCUGGGAUCAGGAGGAAAAGUUUAACUUGGGGGUCCAGAAUUCAUAACCCCACUUUUCUCUCAGUAAAUGCAUAUGUCAAGCAGCUUUGUCAGUAAAAAGAGUGAUAUUCUGAUCUCCCUGUGCCUUAUUUCUGUGGUUAUCCCCUCAUUUGGGUCUAAACGUGGGUGAGACCACCCCAAAACCCAACAAACAAUUUCUUAUGGAUGCUAUGAUUUAAAUGACUCAGUUCCAACCAGUUUCUAUAUCUGUCAUUCUGCUCAAGACAUUAAUUUCUGGCUUGGCUUGGAUCUCCUGUUCAUCCCUUGGCAAUGGUGUAAAGGACCUUAAUUGACAGUUCCCUCCAGACUACAGAGAAUGGAAGAAGUAGUUUCCCAGAAGCAAAUUGUGGCAGUUUCCAAAAUAAGAAAGAGAUACUGAGCAGGCAGAAACAACAGAUGUCCUCUGCAGGGAACUAUUGCAAAGGCCCAGGAGAAAGAAAAUGCAGGCCUAGACUAUGGAGGUAGAAUUAAUGGGACUUGACACCAGACCAGAUGGGGAUAAGAAUGACUGAGUUGAGGGGCCAAGCGACUGGGGGGGAUGAUGGUGCCAUUAGUAUUCAUCUCAUUCAUUCAUUAGCUGAUUCAUUCAACAUGCAUUUAAUGAGCAUUUAUUAUGUGUCUAGUAUUGUGCUAGAUGCUAAGGAUCCAGUGGUAAAUAAUGAGGCCAGGGUCGGUCUAGGCACAGUGGCUCAUGCCUGUAAUUUCAACACUUUGGGAGGCCGAGGUGGGAGAAUUGCUUGAGGCCAGGUGUUUGAGAUCAGCCUGGGCAACAUGGCCUGGGCUUGAGCAGUGGGAGGUCCUGCCUGGGACUUUGACCCUUGAGGGACAGAAAGGAAGGGGCAGGGUCUGUUCUUGGCGGGGAGGUGAGAGUCCAGCAGCAGUGGGUGGACAAUGACCAGUCAUGUCUGUCCAAGUAGUCUUUUCCUGUACCAUGUCUUUGGCUGUGUUCUUAGCCUAAUUGCUUUUGGUUUCUACUCAUGUUUGAAAUUUGUGAGAACCCCAGAAAAAAUUUAAAAAAUUAGCCCGGUGUGGUGGUAUGCACCUUUGGUUCUAGCUGAUAGAGCAGGAGUAUCACCAUCUUGGACAAGCACGGCCAUUUUAAAAUUCACCUUAAUCAAAAACCGUCUAAAUCCAAAGGGCAUCAGCCUAAUGGCUUAGGUCAGCAUGACCAUAAACCACAAAUAACAUCUCCAACCAGAAACAUUCCAAACUCCUCCUCAACCAGAGACAUGCUAGCCCCGAAAUAACCCCCCUCCAGCUGGGAAGAUGCCAGCCCUGAAUAUAACCCCACACCUGCUGAAAAGAUGUCAGCCUCAAGAUAACCUCCCCUCUGCCCAGAACAUUCCAAUCCCGCCAUAAACUUCUCCCCAACACAUAAACAUUCCAAGCUUGUAAUAAGCCCCCUCACCCUAAAACCAAUAUAUAUCUCUGUAAGAGAAAGCACUCCUUAUUUUUUCUCUAAAAUAAGCUUGUCUUUAAGGGGUUAAGUCACGUUUCGUGUUUCUUUCUUCUUUCUUAACUCUUACACUAGCUACUUGGGAGGCUGAAGUGUGGGAAUCACUUGCUGCCAGGAGGUUGAGGCUGCCAUAAACUAUAAUUAGCCCAUUGUACUCCAGCCCAGGUGACAGAGCGAGACCCUGUCUCUAAAAACAAAACAAAAGCAAGGUUUCCACCUUUAGAAAACUCUCCACUUCGGGCUGGGCGCAGUGGCUCACACCUGUAAUCCCAGCACUUUGGGAGGCCGAGGCGGUCAGAUCACCUGAGGUCAGGAGUUUAAGACCAGCGUGGCCAGCAUGGUGAAACCCUGUCUCUACUAAAAAUACCAAAAUUAGCCAGGUGUGGUGGCAUGUGCCUGUAAUCCCAGCUACUUAGGAGGCUGAGGCAGGAGAAUCACUUGAACCUAGGAGGCAGAGGUUGUAGUGGGCUGAGACUGUGCCACUGCACUCUAGACUGGGUGACAGAGCAAGACCCCAUCUCAAAAAAAAAAAAAGAAAAGAAAAGAAAACUCUCCACUUCUACAGAACUUGCAGUCAAGCGGGGGAAAAAAACAAAAAAAACAACAAAUAAGACAUUGACGGAGUCUGUGCUGGGAAAGGUACAGGCUUCAGUAACAGCACAAUAGAGGAGCCCCCAGCUCAGAUUUGAGGGGAAAUGAUGUGUAAGUGAGAUGAAACCUUAAGAACAAGGAGGAUUUGCUUAGGGAAGAGAGGGAAGAAGGGUAUUCUAGACAAAGGGAAUGGCAUGUGCAAAGGCCUGGAGUUAAGAAAGAUUAUGACAAGAGGUUGGGCGUGGUGGCUCAUGCCUGUAAUCUCAACACUUUGGGAGGCCGAGGUGGGCAGAUCACCUGAGGUCAGGAGUUCAGGACCAGCCUGGCCAACAUGGUGAAACCCCAUCCCUACUAAAAAUACAAAAAUUAGCCAGGUAUGGUGGCGAGCAUCUGUGAUCCCAGCUACUCGGGAGGCUGAGGCAUGAGAAUCACUUGAACCUGGGAGGCGGAGGUUUCAGUGAGCCAAGAUCAUGCCACUGCACUCCAGCCUGAGGGAUAGAGCAAGACCCUAUCUCCAAAAAAAAAAAAGAAAUAUUAUAGAAAGUUGAGGGGAACUGUGAUAUUUGGCAGAGGAACACCCCUCUUGUGUUGUGGAAAUCCUUCACUGCAAGGAACUUGGGGGAAAACAGAGCCACCCUGCAGAAGCUGAAAGGGCAGACUCUUGCCUGCCUUCUUGGCAACAGGGGAGUGAGCACGUGACCAGGCUUGGCCAGUGGGAUGUCCUGCCCAGGACUUUGACUCUUGAGGGAGAGAGAGGAAGGGGCAGGGCCUGUUCUUGGUGGGGAGGUAAGAGUCCAGCCUCAGUGGGUGGACCGUGGCCAGUGGUGGCUGUCCAGGCAAGGGGCAGUGGAUAUGGUGGCUCUACCAUCAGGGAACCCUGGCUUUUUCUGUCUCCUUGGUUUGACAUCAACAUGCGGCUUCCUUCCUGUGGUCCAAAAGGGCAGCUCCAGCUCCUACCAUCACUUCUGCAUUUCAGCCAGCAGGAAGGAGUAAUGGGGCAGUGGGGGAUGCCCCCCUUCCCUCUAAAGGCAUAACCUGGAAUUGCACCUGUUACUUUCAUUCUCAUUGCACUGACCGGAACUUAGUUACAAUGCCACGACUAGCAGCCGGGGUACUGGGAAACAUAGCUUUUAUUCUGGACAGACAUAUGCCUAGCCAACAGGUAGAGGCUCUAUUACUAAAGGAAGAAUAGGGAGAGCAUUAACAUU